ACUGCAAUUUCAGAGUAAUAUAAGUAUAAUUAGAUCCAUUCACAAAGCUAAACAAUUUCAGGUACAUAUAAAUACGUCUGAACAAAGUUUGAUGUUUGUGUGUAAAGGAAAAAAAAAUAUUUACUUUGCUUUGAUGUUGUGGUUGAAUAUUGACAUUGAGUGGCAGGACCAGGUAAGUAUCUGUUAACUGACUUUUGAAGCUGAUCAUAUGUUGCUGAGAUUACUGGAGUUCCAACAAUUUGAAGAAGUGAAGUCUGCAUGAUUGAUGAUUAAUAAGGAUUCUGAUCAAGAAGAAUGGUCUGAAAUACUAGGUUGUUAAGGAAGUUAUGCUAACUUGGGUUGAUGAGUUCCUUGUAUUGCAAAGAGGUAUUUAAAGGGCUGAAAACUAGGAAGUGAAUCCCUUUUUUUUUUUUAUCCGCAGCAGAAGUGAAUCUUGAUACUUUGGUGGGAUGACUCAACCUUAGAUCAUCAACCACGUUCGUGGUUGAUAUAAAGGCACUGUCAUGGCAAUUUGACGGAAAGUUAUUCAAGAUAAUAUUUUGACGUCAUGGAUGGAUUGCAUGUUUGGCUGCUUUUAGAAGAAAAGAUGGUACACAAAUAUUAAACUUUUUCAAAACUUAAAAUUUCUGGAAAGGUUGAUUAGUUUAAGAGGCUUAGAGAGAGAGGUUUACAUAUCUUCAGGAGCAAGGUUCCACAGUGGUUGAUCGAAGUAAUUAAGGAAAUAAAUGCGUUGUUGCUGACAGCAUAUUGCCAUUUGUCACAAACCAUCGGAGAACUGCACGGUUUUUGAAACAUGCAGGUAAGGAAAUUAAAGCAGAAAAAGUUGAAUGAUGAAAUACACCGACCGACUAGUUGCAAUACUUUUCGGUUACACCUACUUACGUGAGGAUGCAUCAGCAAGGCUUUAUGAGCUGACAUUUAAUUUGAUCUUUCUGAUGCCAGAUUUCUCCAAAUUCUCUUGUGAUAAGGUAGGAAAAAGUAAAGAAUUUGCAAUUGACAGACUGCUUAACAUAAAAAAUCAUUUUAUUUUAUUUUUGCUUUUUCUAAAACGGUUGAAGAUUGAAUGAGGAUACUGAAUUUAUGAAAGUUCAAUGCUAAAAUAUUGUUAAGACCUUACGAAAGUUAAAGUUGGUAUGUGUCAAUAUACAUAUAUUAACUUAGGAUCUUGUUGAAUAGUACUUUUAAGGUAUUGGUUAAAGAAUUAAAAAAAAUUAUUAAUUGUGAUAAUUUUAUAUAUUUUAAUAAAAAAUAUUUUUCCUUUUAAUUUUUUAAUCAAUUUUCUAAAGAUACUAGUUAGUACUUACGAUUAACAUAUACACUCUUCAAGAUUAGGCAUUAUUAGGCUUGCUGACAGGACAUAUGCCUACAUGCUGAUGUGGGAAACAGCACAAUAUCUUGCUUUUCUCAAGGAAAAUUAAAGGGCACCAUUCCCUGAAUAUAGAUAUGCCUUUAUCUUGUUUUCGAGUGAUUGACUCAUCAUUGAAGAAAUUGAUAUCAGCUACAUCUAAAAGACUAAAACCAUGCAUACAUAGUAUUCAUGCUCUCUUGGGGUUUGAAACUAAACUAAAAACUCUGGCAGUUAAGGCAUCGGUGCUUUUUGUUGGGUCAAACUAUAUCCCUAAAGAGAGGUUGCUGACAGGGCUAUGAUGGGAAGGGAUAAUUAAGAGAAUGAAGGCAAAGCUGUGGAACGUGAAAUUGUUUAUAUAUGUGAAUUGGAAAGUGAUCUGUGGCCGCAUGUUGGUUUUGAAAGUCAUGUGCUAGCGGAAGAGAAGAGUGUUGGACAUACUUAAGUUUCCUUGAAAAGCAAAUUGCCAUGUGGUCUCAUAUGUAAAGCUGAUAUGUAGUAGAAGUUCCUUCUUCAGCUCUUUCUGUUUGAGUUUUUUUUUAUUUUUUAUCCAUAGGAGUAAAUUAUAAACACUUAUAACAAUUCACGCAUCUUAUUAGCCAACUAAACUCGAUCCCUUUAUUCUAUUUGAGUUUUGAAAGGGUCAAUAAUGCUACCGUUGCUACAGGUGUCCUUACUAGAGAGGAAUUAACUUUCUGGUGCUCUAUCAUCUUUUUCAGCUUCUCAAACAUUUGUCACAAGAGAGAUAGCCACUUAUUUGCAACAACACAUCUUGAAUUUUUUUAGUAGAGUUUUUAUGGAAAGUUUCUAUAGAGUUAACUAAUAACUAAGUCAUUAUUAAUAAAAGUUCUUGUCAGAGGCUUAAGAACUAACAAAACUAAAAAUAUGAGAUCCCUGAAAUUGUAGAAUUUCAGAGAACAAAAGAGAGCUGCAAAAACGAGAGACAAAAAAUAAGUUCAAAUUCAAAAUUAAAUUAAAUGUCUAAAAAUAAUUAUAGGAAUAAAAUAAAAUUCCAUUAAAGCUACUUCAAGUAAUUUUAUGCACACAAGCUAAGUGUCUUUAAAUAUAUUUAACAAAUAACAAGUUUAAACAAAAGACAAUAUAUAAAAACUUAAAAGUAAGUAUAAUCAAAUGAUGUGGGACUUAAACCUAUUGUAUUAGUCUCAUCCACACCACAGUUGGAAGAUAUGGUAACUAUAGUUUCUGAUUGUCGUUUCACCAAUUCCACAAAAGGAAAGGAGAUGAAAUUGUGAAAGAAAGUCCAGGCGUUAUUGCCACAAUUCAGUCACAAAACAAGAUCCUAUGUGAAUCAUCUGGGCAAUCCAAACUUAUCAGUUUUCUGAUACAGUCCCACAACUAGAGCAAUCCUAAUUUAUAAGAUGGAUCCAGUGAGACGAACAACUUCCUGCUAAUUAAUUAAACUACUUACAUAAAACAGACUCGCAUUUAAGUUAUUAUACUCAAAUUUGACUAAAAGUUAGAUGGCAUAAAUACAAAUUGAAUUACAUUACUUCAAUGUGUAAUUGAGCCUCAAACUUGUUGUAUAUUGAGGAAGCUAACAGUAUUGUUCCCUCUUUCUAAGUAUUUUUCCAUCAAUCUUUUCUCCUACAAUAAUCUCCCUUCGUAGAGCUCUAACAUAAGCCUGUCCCUUCCUCAAAAGCAGUCCUCAGCACUGCCAGCCGAGGCCACAGAACACAUAUAGCUUGGAUUCUGCAACAAUUGAUGCUCCAAAUGGUGAAUUCUUGCAUUCACAACGCAAUUUUCUGCCAGCCAACUCUGCAACUCUUCUGAUAUGAACCACAUCCAUUCGUUAUUAUCACAGGUCAAAUGUCAUGUCCAGAAGGAUGGAUAUGUGCAAAGAACUUAAAUCCCUUUUAUCAUAGACAAAGCUCAACAUUUUCAAUGACAGCAGCCAAAAUUUUAGUUUGUUACGGAUCAUCCUUUAUAUGUUUGUGUUUGUCCUGACAACAUGAAUCUUCAAGUUUGAAUGGUGGAUUUUGCAACCCAGCUAAGCUUGAGAAACUGCCUGCUCAAGAUAUUUGAAAGUUUUCUGAUAUUUUAAGACCCCCAUAAACCAGAAAUCGAAGUUGUCCUCCGUGACAAUUUCUAUGUACUUCUGUGUUGGCUUUUGAACAUUUUGGCUUUGGUUCACACACUUGAUCUUGUUCAGUGGAAUGGCAACCUGCACAUGACCAUAUAUACUUCAGAACUUCAACAAUCUUGGAUAAAGAGAAACUGAGAAAUAUGAAUACAGGCUAGGAUAAAGUUUUCCAUGAACACUCAAAGGAGAAGAAAAUAGGAGGUAAAAAUGAAUAAAACUUUUGCAAGUUAAAAUCAUCUUAUGCAUUUUAUCUUUGAAGAAGUUAGAUAAGAGAGUUUGAAAAAAGUUUAUUUUAACUUGUGAGAGAAGUUUGAUUUAUUUUACUUUCUUAUCUUGUUCUCCUAUAAGUUCUUGUUAAGUUCACCCAAAUUUGGCCUGUGUAGAUAUAUUAUUUAAUGACUAACCUUAUAACGGAUCCUCAACAUAUGGCCUUUUCAAGUAAAGACUUUCAUUGAUCUCUCGCUGCAGAAGGCAACCUUGUCAGUGGAGAUGAAGAGGAAACCUGCUAGAGGACCGGGUCCGGAUGUAGUGGACAGAUAACACUGGGAAACUUUCAGCAGCCUCUCUCCUUCUUCAACUUUAAAGAAUGCGAGCCCCUAAGCUUAACUUUCUCUUAACAGUUUCUGAUAUAUUUGUCCUCAAUCUCACUGCAAUUAUAGAGUGGUAUAAAUUGAAUUAGAUCCGCUCACCAAGCUAAACAAUUUCAGGUGUGUGUAACAAAAAAGAAUUUUACUUUGCUUUGAUGUUGUGGUUGAAUAUUGACAUUGAGUGGCAGGACCAGGUAAGUAUCUGUUAACUGACUUCUGAGGCCGAUCAUAUGUUGCUG
rnacentral:lncRNA from 1 species